GAUGAACGCUGACAGAAUGCUUAACACAUGCAAGUCUACUUGAUUCUACUUCGGUAGUUGAUGGUGGCGGACGGGUGAGUAACGCGUAAAGAAUCUGCCCUUUAGUUUGGGAUAACCUUUGGAAACGAAGGCUAAUACCGGAUAUUAUGGAGACGUCGCAUGGCGACUCCAUGAAAGCUAUAUGCGCUAGAGGAGGACUUUGCGUCCCAUUAGUUAGUUGGUGAGGUAAUGGCUCACCAAGACCGCGAUGGGUAGCCGGCCUGAGAGGGUGAUCGGCCACGAGGGAACUGAGACACGGUCCUUACUCCUACGGGAGGCAGCAGUGGGGAAUAUUGGACAAUGGGCCACAAGCCUGAUCCAGCAAUUCUGUGUGCACGAUGAAGGUCUUCGGAUUGUAAAGUGCUUUCAGUAGGGAAGAAAAAAAUGACGGUACCUACAGAAGAAGCGACGGCUAAAUAUGUGCCAGCAGCCGCGGUAACAC
rnacentral:rRNA from 1 species